rnacentral:rRNA from 1 species
UACACUGCAGACGGCUCAGUAACACGUGGUCAAGCUAACCUAUGGACGUGGAUAACCUCGGGAAACUGAGAAUAAACCGCGAUGGAUCAUGAUGCCUGGAAUGGCUUAUGGUCGAAAUAGUUUACUGCCAUAGGAUGCGACUGCGGCCUAUCAGUUAGUUGGUGAGGUAAUGGCCCACCAAGACUAUUACAGGUACGGGCUCUGAGAGGAGAAGCCCGGAGAUGGGUACUGAGACACGGACCCAGGCCCUAUGGGGCGCAGCAGGCGAGAAACCUUAGCAAUGUGCGAAAGCACGACUGGGUUAGUCCGAGUGAUUCCUGCUAAAGGAAUCUUUUGCCGGUCCUAAAAGCACCGGUGAAUAAGGGGUGGGCAAGCCUGGUGUCAGCCGCCGCGGUAAUACCAGCUCCUCGAGUGGUCGGGGCGAUUAUUGGGCCUAAAGCAUCCGUAGCCGGUUCCGUAGGUCCUCUGUUAAAUCCAACCGCUUAACGGUUGACCUGCAGAGGAUACCGCGGGACUAGGAAGCGGGAGAGGCGGACGGUACUCCGCGUGUAGGGGUAAAAUCCUUUGAUCCGCGGAAGACCACCA